rnacentral:rRNA from 1 species
GAUAAACGCUGGCGGCGUGCCUAAUGCAUGCAAGUCGAACGGUGCUUUCGGGUGCCGUGGCGAACGGGUGAGUAACGCGUAGGUGACCUACCCUCGAGUGGGGCAUAACCCGGGGAAACUCGGGCUAAUUCCGCAUACGGUCCUGGAUUCGGUUCUGGGAAGAAAGCCGUGAGGUGCUUGGGGAGGGGCCUGCGUCCGAUUAGCUAGUUGGUGGGGUAAUGGCCUACCAAGGCGGUGAUCGGUAGCCGGUCUGAGAGGACGGCCGGCCACACUGGAACUGGGACACGGUCCAGACUCCUACGGGAGGCAGCAGCAAGGGAUAUUGCGCAAUGGCCGCAAGGCUGACGCAGCGACGCCGCGUGGGGGAUGAAGGCUCUCGGGUCGUAAACCCCUUUUGUGUGGGACGAAGACUGACGGUACCACACGAAGAAGCCCCGGCUAACUACGUGCCAGCCGCCGCCGUAAGAC